rnacentral:rRNA from 1 species
UACAGAGGUCCCAAGCGUUGUUCGGAUUCACUGGGCGUAAAGGGUGCGUAGGCGGUCGGGUAAGUCUGAUGUGAAAUCUCACAGCUUAACUGUGAAACUGCAUUGGAUACUAUUCGGCUUGAGAGUUGGAGGGGGGACUGGAAUUCUUGGUGUAGCAGUGAAAUGCGUAGAUAUCAAGAGGAACACCAGUGGCGAAGGCGAGUCCCUGGACAACUUCUGACGCUGAGGCAUGAAAGCUAGGGGAGCAAACAGG